AUGCUUGCUUCAGCAGCACAUAUAUGAAAAUUGGAACAAUACAGAGAAGACUAGCAUGGCCCCUGCUCAAGGAUGACACACAAAUUCGUGAAGCGUUCCAUAUUUUU
rnacentral:snRNA from 1 species